UCAUCAGUUGAUACAAGUAUCACCUCCCCAGAGCCCAAAUCAGUUGAUACGAGUAGUAUCACCUCUCCCAUUCCUUCAGACUCCCAAGCACCUGCCCAUCCCACUCCAUAGCCCAGCCACCCACUCUCAUGUACCAUAUGACCAUCCCAGUAAGCAAGCCAACCACUAGAAUUUGACUGGCAUGCACCUGUGACUUACAUAAACCAGACCUCUA